rnacentral:rRNA from 1 species
GAUGAACGCUAGCGGCAGGCCUAACACAUGCAAGUCGAGGGAGAAGCCCUUUCGGGGGCAGAUACCGGCGCACGGGUGCGUAACGCGUAUGCAACCUAACUUUCACACGGGGAUAGCCCGAAGAAUUUUGGAUUAAUACCCCAUAAUAUUAUUGGAUGGCAUCAUUUGUUAAUUAAAACUGCGGUGGUGAAAGAUGGGCAUGCGUCCUAUUAGCUAGUAGGAGUGGUAACGUCACCCCAAGGCUACGAUAGGUAGGGGACCUGAGGGGGAGGUCCCCCACACUGGUACUGAGGCAGGGACCAGACUCCUACGGAAGGGAGGAGUGAGGAAUAUUGGGCAAUGAUCGGAAGACUGAACCAGCCAUGCCGCGUGCAGGAAGAAUGCCUUCUGGGUUGUAAGCUGCUUGUAUAUGGGAAGAAUAAGGCGUACGUGUACGUUGAUGACGGUACCAUAUGAAUAAGCAUCGGCUAACUCCGUG